AGUAGCGAAAGACGGGUGAGAAUCCCGUCCACCGAAAGACUAAGGUUUCCAGGGGAAGGCUCGUCCGCCCUGGGUUAGUCGGGACCUAAGCUGAAGCUGAACAGCGAAAGCGAUGGACAACAGGUAGAGAUUCCUGUACUACAUUAAUUUGUUUGAUUGAUGGGGUGACGCAGAAGGAGAAGUGAAGCGCGCGAAUGGAAGAGCGCGUCCAAAUCGUAAGGUGGUGUGAUAGGCAAAUCCGUCACACAGACAUUGAGCGAUGAUGGGGAGUGAAAAUCAGUAGCGAAGUCAUGGAUUCAAGCUGCCAAGAAAAGCCUCUAGAGAGAAGAGAUGUACCCGUACCGUAAACCGACACAGGUAGUCGAGAUGAGAAUUCUAAGGUGAGCGAGCGAACUCUCGUUAAGGAACUCGGCAAAAUGACCCCGUAACUUCGGGAGAAGGGGUACCUAUUUUAUAGGUCGCAGUGACCAGACCCAGGCAACUGUUUAUCAAAAACACAGGUCUCUGCAAAAUCGUAAGAUGACGUAUAGGGGCUGACGCCUGCCCGGUGCUGGAAGGUUAAGGGGAGAGGUUAGCGCAAGCGAAGCUUUGAACUUAAGCCCC
rnacentral:rRNA from 1 species